AUGACCUGGCAUUUGGACCUUGCCAGUGCCCCCUGGCCUGGCUACCUGCUGUGUCCUCUAUGUCGCCUCUUGCCAGGAGCAAGAUGGAUCGGGAUAAUUUGGCUGUCAGCCACGUUGAAUGACGAGCCGUCAGCUAAGCCUGCAGACGCCCCACUUCUGGAAGCGCAUCGGACAAGAACUGAUGGAGCUGGAAAUGAAUACAAAGAAUGUGUGAGUUUAGCAGUACUGAAAUAUGUUUGGUUUUGUGGUUGUAUUUUCUUUUUUUUUUUUUUACACAUCGACUAUUUUUAAAUUCCUGUCAGAAGCAUAUGUCAGCACACACUGCUGGUUGAAGGAAACCAGCACAGUACAGAAAAAAGAUUGGCUACAAUGUGUGUUGCAUAUGAACAAUAUAAUGAAAUUAAUGUGUCUUGCCCUGUGUUUAUUACCUUGAUAAAUCAAUACACAGAUAGAUCAAUAUAAAUGUUCAAAAACAAAUGUUGUUCUGAUAAGUCAAUUAAAAAAAAAUCAAAUACAAACUAUUCUUCUCUUUGCAAAUCUGGACAUAGGUUAUUACUUUAUGUAUAGGUAAUUACUGUAUAGAGUAUAAAUGGUACUUACUGAUGAAUUCAGUUAACAGUUGCAUUUACAGUAAGUAUGAAUGCAGGCAUUUUUACACAUGUUAAAUAGAAUGAGUGAUAUACAAUAGCCUGCAGCCAGAGAUGCUGCUGGUUGCUUCAAACAGCUCAUGACCCAGCUGUCCAUCUAUAAAACGUGAGUCCACAAGUAAUAUUGAUUGUGGCAACCACAUAUUGUAUGUCUCAACCAGACAAUUUGGUACUUGCAAUACUGUACAAUUGCUUGUUUGGCUAAAUGAAUGCUAGUAAGUGCUAGUCUGCUACUGUACAUCCAUUGCUGAAGGCAUCUUUUUGAUGAUGCUAGCAGUAAAAUUAUGUACUUGAGAGUAAGUGCAUUGUCACCUUCGCUUACUGCAAAAACUAUGACCUAAUAGGUGAGCUGAAAAUGCAUUGUUAGUUGAUAUGUUAUAGUAUCCUGGAAUACUGUACAGCCUGUACAGACCAAGACAGCAUAAACACAACCAUGUACCAUUUUAUAAGUGGCUUUUAUAGGAGUCUGCGAGAGAGGCAGAGUCAAGCAAGCAGAUAUUCAGUGAAACCAUUAAAAGUCAGCUACAACUGCCAGUACAGCAAGAAUAAGCAAAAAUGAACAAAGCCUGUUGGACUGUAGUUUGGAAGGGGGUUGGAGGAGGUGGGAGAUGGGGUGGGGGGUGUGCUCCACUCUUCUUCCUCUU
rnacentral:lncRNA from 1 species